CGCCGGCGAAUACGCCAUUUUCAUCGUGAAAUGUUCCAACGUCGACGUAACGUGUAUCAUCAAGCAUUCGACGGUACUUUAGACGUAAUAUUUUGGGAAUAAUACGAUUUAAUAAAACUAAACGUUGAAGUUUUAAAACGUACGAGAAACGCAAUUACGAUGUUAUUGCGAUAUUUUCGGAUAUUAAUCAACGAAAUAUUUUUUAUAAUUCGCAAAGAUGUUUCAAUGGGUGGUGAAACAUUUGUUUGAAUAAACAAGAUAUAUUAAAAGAUCAUCCUAGUAUUUAUCCUAAAGUGGGAUACGAUUUGAGAGACAUCUGAAGAAUAAUAUUGAGGAAGGAUUAAGGAUUAGAAGAGAAAAGAAGAAUUAAUCUGUCUGCAUUGCGGAACGAGUUCGUAAUAUCAAGUUGAUUGUAUUCGAUCGAUAAAGUCUCGAGGUCAUAGGUGAGAAAAGAGAAAGAGAAAAGACAUUGUGUUUUUCUGGAAGGAUCUUCUAUGCGGCAAGAACCCCAGAGCGGCUUGAAAACGCGACCUCCGGUCGAUCACGGUGGUCUUCAUCACGGCGGGGUCAUGCUCGAAGAGGACAUGGCCGGUGCCCAGGACACGAUUUACCUUUGCAAUUUUCGCGUGUCCGUUGAUGGCGAGUGGCUCUGUUUAAAGGAACUUCAGGACGUUGAGUUUUCAUUACAAGACUCGAUACAACGUUCGCCUUCGCCACCGUUACCUCUUAGUGGUAUUGAUCCUCAUCGUCAUCGGCAACAGCUGUUACCCGAGCAGCGGGAUUUUCGCGAUGCAUUACCGCCAAGUCCACCGCCGCCAUUGCGUCACGUCUCAAGCUUGUCACGAGACCCGGUGAUCAUCGAAAGGAGUAAUCUCGUAAAUAUUUCAAAGUUGAUUGUGAAAGAGCUCAUCGAAACUUCUUUAAAAUAUGGCCGCAUGCUCGAUUCGGAUCAUAUGCCUCUGCAACAUUUUUUCAUCGUUCUCGAGCAUGUACUCAGGCACGGUUUACGACCGAAGAAGGGUUUACUUGGACCCAAGAAGGAGCUUUGGGACAUCCUUCAGCUGGUGGAGAAAUACUGCCCUGAAGCGCAAGAUAUUACAUCAAGUAUUCGCGAUUUGCCGACGGUUAGAACUGCCAUGGGUCGGGCGCGUGCCUGGCUUCGUAUGGCACUCAUGCAAAAGAAGUUAGCAGACUACCUAAAGAUUUUGAUCGAUCAUAAGGACGACAUUUUGUCUGAAUAUUUUGAGCCAGAUGCUCUUAUGAUGAGCGAAGAGGCUAUCGUGGUAAUGGGUUUGUUGGUGGGUUUGAAUGUGAUCGAUUGCAAUUUCUGCGUAAAGGAAGAAGAUCUCGAUUGUCAACAAGGUGUGAUCGAUUUUUCGUUAUAUUUGCGCAAUAGCAAUCAUAUACCUGGGGAAUCACCUGACGACGAGCUUGAAAAUGACAACAUGACGACUGUUCUUGAUCAAAAGAAUUAUAUCGAGGAAUUAAAUCGGCACUUGAACGCCACUGUGACAAAUCUUCAAGCCAAACUUGAAACUUUAACUACGACGAAUGCUUUAAUGAAAGAAGAUCUGUCUAUUGCAAAGAAUAAUUUUCUAUCGCUUCAAGAGGAAAACAGACAGCUUAAAAAAGAAUUAGGGAUAGAAAUCAAGGAUCCUAAUGAGAAUGGCAAGGCUCCUAUUAAAAUAACUGAAACUACGACGGAAAUCGAAGAGCUUAGAAGUAGACUCGAAUCAGAGAAGAAAUUACGACAGGACACAGAGAAGGAAUUGCAAUUACAGAUAAGCAUGAAGUCGGAGAUGGAGGUGGCGAUGAAAUUGUUAGAGAAAGACAUCCACGAGAAGCAGGACACCAUAAUAUCGCUUAGGCAACAACUCGACGACAUCAAGCUGAUCAAUUUGGAGAUGUACAAAAAAUUACAGGAGUGCGAGCACGAGCUGACGCAGAAGGGCGAGAUGGUGAGCCGGCUUCACGCCAAGACCAAUCAGAUCGGCAAGAUUCUGAAUAAUCUCGAGAAGUACAAUCACCUGAUGAAGGAUGGAGAAAAUGUUCGGAGUCCGACAACGCCGUGUAACGCAUCGAAGUCGAUUCUAAACAAAAACAGUCCGACCUCGCCGAGAGGUUCGGCAUUUGGAACGGAAAAUGUUGGGGCCGAUCGAACGUCAGGCGAUCAUCAGCAACGUAACAUCGAUAAUAAACGGGCGAAAGAAUCGUGUGAAAAAUCUAAAAGGAGCAAAUCCAACGACGACGUUGUCUCUACGAAUGUUAUUAACGAAAAAAAGCCCGUUAAAGAAUGAAGACAUUCUUCGUUUGGUCAAUUCUCUUAGCGAGUCUACUUGUUAGAAAUCUCUUUUUUCUACACGACGUAAUAAGCGAUACUACAUCGCCAAUUUCAUCGCAAUUUCAUCGCAAUUUCAUCGCAAUUUCGACCUUCUCGCUUAUCGCGCGAAAUGUCGCUUUCCUAUAUGCGCUCCUUUUUACACGUUGUAUUCGCGCGUUUCAUCGAUUAUAUCAUAUCUCUUCGCUCGACGUUCGAUCGCGAGCAUCGAUUCGAAUAGUUCAUAUCUCUUCGAGAUAAUAUGCGCCGAAAUUGAGAGGAAAAUCUACAACCAUAAAACGUUUUAUCUCUAUACAGGCGCAGGAUUAUACAGGACAAUAAUCCCGAGAAUAGUUUUCUGCGAGUCCCUCUAUUAUCUAAUAUUUCUCAAGAAGAAAUACAAGUACGCGGCUAUUCGAUUUCUAAUUUUCUUCUUUUUCUGAUUCCAUCGGAUUUCGUAUUUAUUUCGAUCUCGAAGAACUCGUUUCUUUUUUUCUCUCUUAUACUGAAGAAGAAUUUAUUUCAGGAAUGCGAAGCUUCUCUUAAUCAUAAGACAGAACUGAUCAAAAAACUGGAGGCUAAGACAGUGUCGAUGACUGAGACAUUCCAGAAACUGGAUGAACAGCGCAAGGAAUUGGACGGAGUUAGAGCAAGGACCGAGGAGAAGGCUAAGGUC